GACGAACGCUGGCGGCGUGCUUAACACAUGCAAGUCGAACGAAAAUACCAAGCUUGCUUGGUUGAUUAGUGGCGAACGGGUGAGUAACACGUGAGUAACCUGCCCCUUACUUUCCUGGAUAACUGCUCGAAAGGGUAGCUAAUACGGGAUAUUCUGACCAGCCUGCAUGGGUUGGUUUGGAAAGGUUGUUUUUCUGGUAAGGGAUGGGCUCGCGGCCUAUCAGCUUGUUGGUGGGGUGAUGGCCUACCAAGGCUUUGACGGGUAGCCGGCCUGAGAGGGUGGACGGUCACACUGGGACUGAGAUACGGCCCAGACUCCUACGGGAGGCAGCAGUGGGGAAUAUUGCACAAUGGGCGCAAGCCUGAUGCAGCGACGCCGCGUGAGGGAUGAAGGCCUUCGGGUUGUAAACCUCUUUCGUCAGGGAACAAGGCAUUGCCUUUUUUGGUGGUGUUGAGGGUACCUGGAUAAGAAGCGCCGGCUAACUACGUGCCAGCAGCCGCGGUAAUACGUAGGGCGCAAGCGUUGUCCGGAAUUAUUGGGCGUAAAGAGCUCGUAGGCGGCUGGUCGCGUCUGUCGUGAAAACUUCCGGCUCAACCGGGGGCUUGCGGUGGGUACGGGCCGGCUAGAGUGCGGUAGGGGUAACUGGAACUCCUGGUGUAGCGGUGGAAUGCGCAGAUAUCAGGAAGAACACCGAUGGCGAAGGCAGGUUACUGGGCCGUUACUGACGCUGAGGAGCGAAAGCGUGGGGAGCGAACAGG
rnacentral:rRNA from 1 species